CAGUCUUCUGAAUAGCUCUUCCAGGUCCAAUAAACCACAGCAGUGAAGAGCGUGGUUCAAACCUGAUCUGUCGCCCCCAUUUCCUCAUCUUCAUCGAGGGUGGUCACUGGACCUGUCUCCUGGGGCUGUUGGAAGAUUUGAUGAAAGAGUGGAUUCGGCACCUGGCAGUGUUAACAGCGGCUGCGUUCAACAACCAGCUGGCAGAUUUCCUGGAAGUUUCACCGUCAGCUCUCAGGAGCCAGUGCGCCCCUGCUCUUCGGGGAGAAUGAGGUGUGAAUGAAGGGGAGGCCGAGGGAAAGGGGGCUGCCCUCGCCCAGGAGACGCCCUUGCCACACCCACCUGGAGGUGACCGGCCUGCUCGUGAGGGAGCUUGUGUCUGCCCCUGAGCCCCACAGAGAGGCCCUGGACUCAGAGGUGACCAGGACCCAGCAGAGGUGUGGCAGGCACCCACCCUCCAGAGGAACGAAUCUGUUCGGGGGUCAGAAGAUGCAGGGACAGAAUUGAAGAGACACAGCCCGGCCCUCCAGCCAAGAGCUCCAAGUGUAAUGACGGAGGUUCCCAUGAGCUCCACUCAAGAAACACAAGAUAGGGAAGAAUGGGUGGGGCUCACCCAAGGCGGAGGGAGAGAGAGGCCCUCCUUGAAGUGUCUGCAUCGCAGGGAAGGGUUACAAGCAAGGACUCAGACUCUGAAGCCAAAUGGCACGGCCCCGCCUCUGACACUUAAUAGUAAAAGACUUGGUGCGUGUUACAUGCGCCUCGGUUUCCCCCUUCUGGAAAGUGGGGGUGAUAAUGGUACCUACCAGUGGGGCU